CGUUAACUCUACAGGGCGGGCAUUUCUAAAUAAAGGAGAUGCAUUCUGACUUUAUCUUGUCCUCAAGAGAACCAAUUGCGAAAUGCCUCUGGUGCACAAUUCCCUAAAUAUUAUGUCAGAAUGUCGCAAGGUUUUUCCGGAGGAGCACACACUGAUAUUCCCUCUCACAAUGAAAUAUACGACAUUUUAAGUCCACCUGAACCAUGCUCCAUUCCCAUUUCUUCCCAAAAGCAAAUUGUUCCAACGGUCACCAGAACUGGCAUUGUUCAGAGACAGCACCUUUUGAAGACUUCCAGAGCUUUCUCUCUCUUUUCAUCCCUAUUCUUGUUAUAUUUUACUUAUCAUCGUGUCAGUAUCUCUGCUCCUGUUCUUGCUUGACUUUUACAGAGUUCCUGGUGUGACCAGUUGAAAGAUCAGCUUUCAAACUGCGGUAAUUACAGCGCUUGCCCUUGAGGGCCGGAGCUCAAACUGAUACAAACUGACACAUAUCAGAAUUGCCACAAUGGGUCACCUGCAAAACGAUGACCUGACAUCAGGGUCUGUGGCACUCAAGGAGAGAAUGCAAAGGAGGAGUCGCGGCUCUUCCUAGAUGAGGGGCCUCCAGGUUCUCCGAGCCUUCAUUCUGUCUUUGCAUUUUACCUUCUCCUGCUUAAAAAAAAACACAAACAACUCCCCCUUAUCUCCUCUAACUUCUGGCAUUAGACAGAUGAGGUCUAUGUUUGCCACAUUUUUGCACUCAGGAUGCCCAGCGGGAUUGAAUACAAUCUAUGAAUACACAUUCAAUUAGAAAAGAUGAUAGUGGGCUUGCAAUUGGAUCUGUCAUGGGCUUUUCUUCCUUUUAAAUGCAUUUUAAACGAUGG
rnacentral:lncRNA from 11 species